rnacentral:rRNA from 1 species
GUCCACGCCCUAAACGAUGCGAGCUCGGUGUGGGACGUUCAAUCAUGUCCCGUGCCCUAAGCUUACGCGGUAAGCUCGCCGCCUGGGAAGUACGGCCGCAAGGCUAAAACUCAAAGGAAUAGACGGGGACCCACACAAGCGGUGGAGCAUGGGGUUUAAUUCGAUGACAAGCGAAGCACCUCACCCAGACUUGACAUGUAGAGAAUCCCGAAGAAAUUUGGGAGUGCCGCAAGGAGCUCUAACACAGGCGCUGCACGGUCGUCGU